UACGGGGGGGGCAAGCGUUGUUCGGAAUUACUGGGCGUAAAGGGCUCGUAGGCGGCCAACUAAGUCAGACGUGAAAUCCCUCGGCUUAACCGGGGAACUGCGUCUGAUACUGGAUGGCUUGAGUUUGGGAGAGGGAUGCGGAAUUCCAGGUGUAGCGGUGAAAUGCGUAGAUAUCUGGAGGAACACCGGUGGCGAAGGCGGCGCGCUGGACCUCUUCUGACGCUGAGGCGCGAAAGCCAGGGGAGCAAACGGG
rnacentral:rRNA from 1 species